GCGUAGGUAGCAAAGCCUGGUUACGCGAUGGACUGCAAAUCCAUUUUACGGGGGUUCAAAUCCCUCCCUGCGCUCCA
rnacentral:tRNA from 2 species